rnacentral:rRNA from 1 species
AACGAACGCUGGCGGCAUGCCUAACACAUGCAAGUCGAACGAGACCUUCGGGUCUAGUGGCGCACGGGUGCGUAACGCGUGGGAACCUGCCCUUAGGUUCGGAAUAACUCCCCGAAAGGGGUGCUAAUACCGGAUAAUGUCUUCGGACCAAAGAUUUAUCGCCUUUGGAUGGGCCCGCGUUGGAUUAGCUAGUUGGUAGGGUAAAAGCCUACCAAGGCGACGAUCCAUAGCUGGUCUGAGAGGAUGAUCAGCCACACUGGGACUGAGACACGGCCCAGACUCCUACGGGAGGCAGCAGUGGGGGAUAUUGGACAAUCGGCGAAAGCCUGAUCCAGCAAUGCCGCGUGAGUGAUGAAGGCCUUAGGGUUGUAAAGCUCUUUUACCCGGGAUGAUAAUGACAGUACCGGGAGAAUAAGCUCCGGCUAACUCCGUG